rnacentral:rRNA from 1 species
UAUGUCUGGUGACUAUAGCAAGGAGGUCACACCUGUUCCCAUGCCGAACACAGAAGUUAUUUCAUAUUCUUGAAACAUAUAUAGCAGUACAUCUAUGUCUACUUUAGGUUUUAUUGACAUAAAUAAAGCUCCCUUCAAAGUUUUCAUUUUUUCAAUGUCUACUUUGAAGGGAGCAUUUCACAUUGAGACCGCAAGGUCUCUUUUUUUUAUGUCUAAAACGUCAAAAUAAAAAGCAAACACAAAGAAAAAUGGCUUGGCGAAGUGAAAACGUUUGAAUCUGACGAAACGAGAAAAGAGCGCAACGAGUUUAGUAGAGCUAAAUGAGUAAGUGAGAGCCGAAGGAGAGGAAAGAAGCAAGCGAUUGUCACAAGUCAAGAAAGGUUCUUAGCGACGAUGGUAGCCAACUUACGUUCCGCUAGAGUAGAACGUUGCCAGGCAAA